ACGGGGGAUGCAAGUGUUAUCCGGAAUCACUGGGCGUAAAGCGUCUGCAGGUGGUUUCCUAAGUCCACUGUUAGACCUUGAGGCUCAACCUCAAAUCUGCAUUGGAAACUAGGAGACUUGAGUAUAGUAGGGGUAGAGGGAAUUUCCAGUGGAGCGGUGAAAUGCGUAGAUAUUGGAAAGAACACCGAUGGCGAAGGCACUCUACUGGGCUAUUACUGACACUCAGAGACGAAAGCUAGGGGAGCAAAUGGGA
rnacentral:rRNA from 1 species